rnacentral:misc_RNA from 1 species
ACGAGUUUACAACUCCCAAACCCUUAUGUGAACAUACCUACAGUUGCUUCGGCGGACUCGCCCCGGCGUCCGGACGGCCUAGCGCCGGCCGCGGCCCGGAUCCAGGCGGCCGCCGGAGACCUACCAAACUCUUUGUAUUAUCAGUCUUUUUUCUGAAUCCGCCGCAAGGCAAAACAAAUGAAUCAAAACUUUCAACAACGGAUCUCUUGGUUCUGGCAUCGAUGAAGAACGCAGCGAAAUGCGAUAAGUAAUGUGAAUUGCAGAAUUCAGUGAAUCAUCGAAUCUUUGAACGCACAUUGCGCCCGCCAGCAUUCUGGCGGGCAUGCCUGUUCGAGCGUCAUUUCAACCCUCGACUUCCCUUUGGGGAAAUCGGCGUUGGGGACCGGCAGCAUACCGCCGGCCCCGAAAUGGAGUGGCGGCCCGUCCGCGGCGACCUCUGCGUAGUAAUCCAACCUCGCACCGGAACCCCGACGUGGCCACGCCGUAAAACACCCCACUUUCUGAAC